ensembl:snoRNA
GCAGACACACUCUGUUCUUCGCUGCUCCCUCCAGCCUGGGACUUUUUCUGUCUGCUACAUGAAUGUGCAGAAUGUAACACUUCACUGGCUUGUUGCCAGGCUGGCUGGUGUUGGUAUGUUCUGCCACAUUACA